rnacentral:tRNA from 1 species
GGGUAAAUAGCUCAGUGGUAGAGUACAUGCUUAGCAUGCACGAGGUCCUGGGUUCAAUCCCCAGCACCUCCA